AACCAUUGGAACGGUGAGGGACAAUGGAUUUAUUACGGUGGCGAGGAAAUCCUCAGGGGAACCGUAGUCGGUGAUGGACUUCUUGUCGAUGGGAGUGAUCAUGAC